CGCAUUCGCGAAUUUUUGGCUGAAGGCUAGAAGAGAGUCUUAACAAUGUUAGCGUUUUUUCUUUUUUGUUUCAUUUGACUCUUGCGGUUUCUGGGGUUGGGGUUGCGGUGCGAUGUCGCGACAUCAACAAGAUUUUUUUUGUUAGGUUUUGCCCAGUGCAAAUGUGACAUUCACCACAUGAUGUUCCAUGUGAUUUUUUGUUCUUUUUGUUGAUAUCUUUUGUUUGUUUGUUUUUUAAUCCCCGAAUUUUGUUAUGGAAGUGUUCGACUUUUUCUUUUGUUUGGCAUGUUUCCUUCCUUGUACGUACAAAACACAAUUUCUUAGACCGGCUCUAGGACGCACACGUCCUCGUGCACAGAUUCGGUGCAUUAUGCAACUCACGCGAUCAAACGACAAACGAGGAAAAAUAUUAAAAAAACGACACGAAACGCGCGGCGAUAUUCUCACGUCGGAAACCAAAAGUCUUCGUCAAACAUUUUUGCUGCGUUGUGCGCAUUUUUCCUAGUCCUCGAAUUCCAAUCCAAUUUGAAUAUCGAAUCAACAAUUUUCGGGGCACACACGCAAUAAUAAAACACGCAAGUAAAGGAGAACUAUCGUCACCAUCACAAGGAAUGAAAACAACAUGUACGAAAUUAUUAUUCAAAGCCUAAAGGCAAAAUGUAUAGACAAAAUUGACACGAGUCUUGAAGAAACCAAGAAAAAACCUAAAUCAUAAAGUGAAAGGUAUUAGAAUUUCACGUCAGCUUUGACGGACGGGCAAAACAAAAAAAAAAUGACGGGCCAAUGUCGAUGGUUGCACUCACGCCCGCACCUUCUAAUAAUAAUUCGUCGACGGUCGGCAAGCCCGUGCGACAUUUCAUCCUGGCCUUCCCUUACUCUUGUGUGGCGUCGUGAUUCUCUCAUCAUCAUGCAAUUUUUGUGUGUGUGUAAAUCUCCCAUCAAAGUUGUUAUAGACAUUUGCUAUUCGCCGUCAAUUGAUGAGAAGCUCUUUGCGGAGGUGGAACAGCAAAAAGAAAAGAAAAAUGAGAAAAUCCCCGAAACGCGCAAGAGAGAGUGGGAUGUGUAUAAAUAUAGAAAAAUAACCAUGUCAGUUGGGAGCCGGUUAUGCCAUUAUAGUCCCUCGUGCACGUAUAUAACAUCACUGAUAGCGUGCGACCUGUUUAUAAGCAAAUAAUCAGCCUUGCGCGGCCUUGUGCAUUUAUCAAGAACCUUGCGCCAUUGCGAUUCGGACAGGUACUUGUUGCUCAACCAAUGGAGACAAAUAAACAUGAAUAAUUGCAGUUUUACAUUGCAAAGUGGUACCCCUCGCUCCUACUAAGUUGUAGAAAGGGCUUUUCUUGAAAAGAACGAGUUUAAAAAAAUGGCUGGAACGACGUCUCGUCACAAUUUCGCCGCGUUUGUCCCAUCAUAGUUCGAUUCGCUUGACAAACGAUUGAUACAAUACAUUAAGAAUUAUGCGUAUAAAUAUUCUGCUUAUCGAUUCAAACUCCUUUUCCCUUGAUUUUCUGAGGCGAAUGGAAAGAAUGUUUCAUGUUUUGCCGUCGUAAAAAUCGGAAUAAAAUAUUUAAAUUUGAAGAAAAUUGGGAAAUUAGUAGAGAAGAGUUUGCCUUGGCCUAAUGAUUCACGUAAAUGGUUUGAGAUUACGAUCUGCCUGUAGGAUAAUGUCCGUUACGCGCAGAUACCUGAGAGUUAUUCUUCUCCUUUUUUUUUAAGUAUACACCAUUGCGCCACCAUCAAGGUCUACUGACGUCAUAGAAAAAGAAGAAGUGCUGCUGUAAAUCAGUUGGUGGUCGACGGAGGGAAAGACAACUCUUUCGACUUUGUCCGAUGCGUUUUCUUCUUCAAAAAAAUGUCGAUGCAAUCCAUCCGAUUACCGAAGAUCCGGCUAUCACCGAAACACAACAAUAGAUUUUAACUCUUGACUGUCGCUAUACAAUCGAACCGAAAACAAAAGGGACUCGCGUUGCCAUGGUCCAUGACAUCACGACCUUGGUCACGUGAUUUUGUUUAUCUGUUGCUUUUGCUCUCCCCCCUUUUUUCUCUCUUUCUUUGCUGCCCAAAGAAGAAAAUGACUUUUUUGGCCGCGACCAGGAGAGGGGAGGAAUUGGGAAAACUUGGUUACGUAUAUACGCGGAUGCACGACCCAGUCCUAUCCCUGAGACCCGCUGGCUAUCAAACGCUGCUCCUCUAUGCCGCCAUGGGGCUCACGACCUUCUUGUGCUUCGCUUCAUUAUAGAUGAUGUACACAAAAGAGGCUUAUAGUAUGAAUUAAUGUAGACCAUACACAGCAUAAAAAGUGAA